rnacentral:tRNA from 1 species
UAGGAGGCGGCCGCCGAGGUGGUAAGCUGUAGCCUUAUUUAUGAAGUUAAUUCUUCCCUUCUGC